AGUGAACGCUGGCGGUAGGCCUAACACAUGCAAGUCGAACGGCAGCACAGAGGAGCUUGCUCCUUGGGUGGCGAGUGGCGGACGGGUGAGGAAUACAUCGGAAUCUACUCUGUCGUGGGGGAUAACGUAGGGAAACUUACGCUAAUACCGCAUACGACCUACGGGUGAAAGCAGGGGAUCUUCGGACCUUGCGCGAUUGAAUGAGCCGAUGUCGGAUUAGCUAGUUGGCGGGGCAAAGGCCCACAAAGGCGACGAUCCGUAGCUGGUCUGAGAGGAUGAUCAGCCACACUGGAACUGAGACACGGUCCAGACUCCUACGGGAGGCAGCAGUGGGGAAUAUUGGACAAUGGGCGCAAGCCUGAUCCAGCCAUACCGCGUGGGUGAAGAAGGCCUUCGGGUUGUAAAGCCCUUCUGUUGGGAAAGAAAUCCAUCUGGUUAAUACCCGGGUGGGAUGACGGUACCCAAAGAAUAAGCACCGGCUAACUUCGUGCCAGCAGCCGCCGUAA
rnacentral:rRNA from 1 species